GCUGGGUGUGGUGGUGCAUGCCUGUAGUCCCAUCUACUCGGGAGGCUGAGGCAGAAGAAUCACUUGAACCCAGGAGGCGGAGGUUGCAGUGAGCCGAGAUUGCGUCACUGCACUCCAGCCUGGGUGACAGAGUGAGACUCCGUCUCAA
rnacentral:SRP_RNA from 1 species